rnacentral:rRNA from 1 species
UCCGUAGGCGGGCAAUUAAGUCAGGGGUGAAAGUCUGCGGCUCAACCGUAGGACUGCCCUUGAUACUGGUUGUCUUGAAUCGUUGUGAAGUGGCUAGAAUGAGCAGUGUAGCGGUGAAAUGCAUAGAUAUCGCUCAGAAUACCGAUUGCGAAGGCAGGUCACUAACAACGUAUUGACGCUGAGGGACGAAAGCGUGGGGAGCGAACA